GCGCGAUUAGCUCAAUGGCAGAGCGUUGCUUUCACAUAGCAAAGGCCGCAGGUUCGAUCCCUGCAUCGCGCA
rnacentral:tRNA from 1 species